CUACGGGAGGCAGCAGUAGGGAAUCUUCCGCAAUGGACGCAAGUCUGACGGAGCAACGCCGCGUGAGUGAGGAAGGUUUUCGGAUCGUAAAACUCUGUUGCCAGGGAAGAACGCCAGGGAGAGGAAAUGCUCCUUGGGUGACGGUACCUGAGAAGAAAGCCCCGGCUAACUACGUGCCAGCAGCCGCGGUAAUACGUAGGGGGCAAGCGUUGUCCGGAAUUAUUGGGCGUAAAGCGCGCGCAGGCGGCGACUUAAGUUUGGUGUUUAAGCCCGGGGCUCAACCCCGGUACGCACUGGAAACUGGGUGGCUGGAGUGCAGGAGAGGGGAGUGGAAUUCCACGUGUAGCGGUGAAAUGCGUAGAUAUGUGGAGGAACACCAGUGGCGAAGGCGACUCUCUGGCCUGUAACUGACGCUGAGGCGCGAAAGCGUGGGGAGCAAACAGGAUUAGAUACCCUGGUAGUCCACGCCGUAAACGAUGAGUGCUAGGUGUUAGGGGUUUCGAUACCCUUGGUGCCGAAGUUAACACAGUAAGCAUUCCG
rnacentral:rRNA from 1 species